rnacentral:lncRNA from 1 species
UUUUCUUUUUUUUUUCCAAAACUUUAUUUUUGUCCACUCACACUUUUAAAUAUUUUGUGCCUCCAGGCAGUAGUCGUGUACCAGAGCACCACCACAAGGCGGCCAUCACUCAUCCUUGCUUCUCUUUCUCUAUGUAGGAUGUUUCCUUGCAACUAUGUUACUUUGUAAAAUUUCUAGAGUAGUUUUGCUCUAACAUUGCCCUAGGUUUUC